ensembl:lncRNA
UUUUAUAUCAGAUUCCAUUUCUUCCCUUCUCAUCUCUCUUACUCUCCUUUUUCUGCAGGACCAUUGUUUCUUUUCAGCACGCGAUAGUAGCAACUUGCAGAAUUGACUGUUGGGGGAGAAGCUGAGGCGAUGCUGCCGGAUCUUUCUAUCCCAUUUUACUGCUAAACUCAGCCAGGAGCUGAGGGUGCUAGAGACUUCUGGAGUUUCAAUUGGAUUUUGUUGUAAUUCAUUCCUAAUUCUUGGGAGAGAUAGGUGGGCUAGAGUCUAGAUAAGAUAGCAAAACUCUGCCCCCAGAGGACUUUUUUUUAUUAUUUUUUUUAAAAUCUCCAGUUUCUUUUGCCAGUGCAAUUUUCGAAGGAAGAAAGGUUUGUAGAUCUCAUACGUUGUAGGUUCCAUACGUCCUUUUGGGGGAUUUGUUUCCUCAUUACCGUCCCUCCUUUUCCCUUCCUUUUCUCCGUUCCUGAGGUCUCUAGUGAAGUGACAUAGACGACACUUGCCCGGCUGUAUUUGACGUUGGGACUCACACUUUUUCCUCUCUCGUGACAGUGCUAGUAGUAGUAGGGGAGAGGGGGGACGCAGGUGUUGGCACUCGGUAAACGGCAGGUUUCCUGGGACCAUUCGGAACAGUCUAGAGCCACUGCAGCUGUCCAGGAGUUGCUGUUAUCGGGACUCUAGGAGCCAGAGCAAAGUCACCGCAGCUGGAGAGAGAACAAGCUAUCGGAGACCUGCCAACAACAACCUUGCUACCAGGACCAAGGAAUCAGGCUAUCUCCGGUAAGGGAGUACCAGGAGAGCCCGAGAUCCCUCCGGUUUCUCACAGUGUGCCUGCUCUAAGCUCCAACAACAUCUUCCCUUGGCUACUCACCGGGUGAGACCUCGGAAUCUCGGUAUGCCCGGUAAUCUAGACAAUUCAUGGAAGAUGCUGCUUUCUUGAAGGUGAACCCACAGUUUGCCUUUCCCAAGAGAGAGAAGGGGAGAGGGAGGGCGGAAGGAAAGAACAGAGUUGGUGUGCCUGCCUGGGUGUGAGAGGGAAAAGGAGAGAGAAAAAGAGAGGGAGAGAGAAAAAAAAGAGGCAGCUUAUGAUGAGGAUAAGUCCUUUCUCUGCAUUAAAAGCAAACAAAUCGAGACCGGUAUAAAAGAGGUAAUCGCUGCAAGAGACUCUUAGAUUCCGGUAGUUGAGGUGGACCUCACCGCUACUCCGAGGACCAGUGGCGGGGGCUAGCUGAGCUGCCUAAGGCUCCAGGACUUGGGCUUUCUCAAUCAACAAAUCUUUUGAUUACUUUGGCGCUGUGGGAGCAAAAAAAAAAAAAAUUUUAAAGAAAGAAAGGGGAAAAAAAGAGAGGGAGAAACGCGCAUCCUAUCCACCACCUGCUUUGGGGAUUCCGGGCUUAGAUUUCAGGAAAUUCCUGAAACCUCUCUUUGCCAUCCAAAAGGAGGAAAUACACUCAUACACUCUCUCUCUCUCUCUCUCUCUCACACACACACACACACACACACUCACACACACACACACAGACACGCGCGCGCGCGCACACAGGGUCACACUCAUACGCCCGCUCCAAGCACACACCACCAGACCGCAGGUCCCUAUGCCCCUGGAUGGUGAAGGCGGAUUGGGAUUUGGCAAGCGAUGCAAGAACUAUAAGUCUGGCGCUGGCCCCCGGAAGCUACUGGAGCAUCACUAGGUGUUGUCACCUGGAAGCGGGGCUGAAGGAUCGACAUUGUGAAACUGGCUGCUUAAGAAGAGCAGCAUCUCAGGUCCUAGCAUCUCAAAGGUGCUUGGAAAAUAGCUCUUUCUUGGGGAAUUGCCAACACUUACACAUAGGAUUUCUGUGCUUAAAAGGUCCACCAAGUUCUCCUCUUUCUACCAGCAGAGGGCAUGUUUCACAGCCCUGUCUCUUUAUGCCCAUCGACUAAAGGUUAUGAUUCCUCACUGAAGAUAAAAUUUAUUAAGAAGGGGAGUGACAGAGUCAGACCUGCAUUUUAGGCAGCUGUGUGGAGGCCAGUCUGACGAGGUGAGAAACUUGAAGCAGGAAGACCAAUUAGGAGGCUGCAUCAAUGGUUCAGGAUGAAUAAGAGAUACUUACAGAAAGCAACAAAAGGAAAGCUGCUAAUAAUAAUAUUUAUUCUAACCUUGUGGGGUAAACUAGCAUCUGGCGCAAACCACCAUAAAGCUCACCAUGUUAAAACUGGAACCUGUGAGGUGGUGGCGCUCCAUAGAUGUUGUAAUAAGAACAAGAUAGAAGAAAGGUCACAGACGGUCAAGUGCUCAUGCUUCCCAGGACAGGUGGCAGGCACCACGAGAGCCGCUCCUUCUUGUGUUGAUGCUUCAAUAGUGGAGCAGAAAUGGUGGUGUCACAUGCAGCCAUGUCUUGAAGGAGAGGAAUGUAAAGUUCUUCCAGACCGGAAAGGAUGGAGUUGUUCCUCGGGAAAUAAAGUGAAGACAACGAGGGUAACCCAUUAGCUAAGGACAAAUCAAGCCAGUUCUAAGGCUGAGAACAUUAAACAUAACCAAUAUCCGGAAUGUAUUACUUGAGAUCAACCAGAAGGAAGCUUUUUAUACUGGGGGGAGUAUACCCUUUGGUAAUACCCUCACAUUUUUCCCAAUGGGAUUCUUGGCUUGCAAUUAGCAACCCUUUGAGAUCAAAACUUCUACAAAAUUAACUACGAACUUCUUUGGGUUGUGAAGCUCUCAAAGAGGUUAGACAAUUCACACUUAUAAAUUGCACAUGCUAGAAGAAUUUAAAGUUGCAAUCCAAGGAGUUGAUAUGCUGGAAGAUGAUGAAAGAGAUGCUAAACUCUUGAGUUCUUGACUUCAGAUGUAAUUGCUUUUCAAGCUUCUGAAAGCAGUCUACAAAACACUGGCUGGUCUCCAUUCCUGAACUCUAUGUUUCAUUGGCUGGUGGGACUGUACACACCUUUAAUAAUCUUUCUUCUGUAGAACUUGUCCUCUGGCAUGGCAUACAUUUGGACUUUUUGAUUUGUCUCUUAAUCUUGGAACUCUCAAAGCCUACAUAUUUUAACAUCUUAAAAUUGCUUUUGUUAUAGGAAUGGAAAUAUAUAUCUAUUGUUAAUGAUGAUUGUUGGCAAGUAAUAGUUAUCUGAUACAUCAAUCAUAUAAAAUGUGUAGACAAGCAGCAUCUUUCCUUCCCUAAGGCAAAUGGACUCCUCUAGCUCCUUGUCAGUUAAAUAAGUAGUGGUCAGAGCUAGAGUGCCAUAUUUAUUAUAAGAUAUUUUGACUUUAGAACAUUUCCUUUCAGAUUUCUUUUUUUUUUCUCUCCCCCAAAGUGUGUUAUGUGCUUUGGUUCCUUAAUGUGCCAUUCCCCCCCCCCCAAUUACACCAAUCAAAAAUAAUCUGUCAUUAAUAUUAAGUAGUCCUGAUUUUUAAAAAUUGCCAGGGAUGCAUGCCAGUUUAUAAUGCUGAACUUAGAUGAUAUUCAUUUAAAACCCCUUUUAGUGUUUGUUUCUCUCUUUUCUUUUUUUCUUUUUUCAAAAGAGGUCUCUGACUUGAACAAAAUGGUGAUCUGGAUGCUUAUGUAUUUGUCUGCUAAGUCUCUCUGUUGAUAGAGGAAGGAGUUCACUUCUCCCAGUCUCUAGUUCACAAAUAUUUGCUUACAGUUAUCCAACUCAAACUGUUUCUUAGGCCAGAAUUUUUUCUGCAUUUUAGUGGCUAGCUUUUGAAUUUGUGAUUUGCUGUUCCACAAAAAGUCUUCUAAAUAUUUAAAAAGCCUUAAACAUCUAUGAACUUGUUUUCUAAGUUAUUACAGAAUGUAUAAUUUUAUACUCCAUUUGCUAUAUUCCACUUGUAGCAUGGAAGCAGAGGAGAAUGGACAUUGCAUUCCUGUUCUGUAUCAUUUCUACUACAUAAUUCUGCAGGUGGGAAUGAAGAGGGUGGGACUUCAGUACUUAUAUUUUGUAAACAAACAUGAAGACUAUACAGAUGUGGGCCUAUUGAAAAUAAUUGUGUGGGCAAGCUCAUUCAAGCAGCUGGCAUGAGGCAUCAAUAUGCUGGAGAAGCAGGGAAAAUCUUUUUAUUUUUACAACUCAUUGACAUGGCCAAUUAGACAUAAAUUGGGUUCCAUGAUGGAUGCGCACCCUGGAGUGCUUUGAUAAUUCACUAUAUGCAACACUUUUCCAAGACCAAUUCAUUACCUCUGCUGUUUUAUUGUUCAGGAGAGGUAAAACGUAACAAUUAUUGGAAGCUAAAUUGGAGAUGUAGACUUAUAGCAUUGUACUGAAGAAUAUUGCACACCAUCAACAUUUCCAGGGAAAGAGAUGUGUGUCUGCCUCCAUUUUAAUUAGAGUGGUUAUUAGGACCAGCUAGCUGGCUCUGAAUGUUUUUUUUUCUUUCAAUAAGCUGUAUAGAAUUGGGCAGAAAGGCAUGUGGGUUGGGGAGGGAGAACAUCUUUUGAAGGAUUAUCCCUUUUUUUGGAACAAUGCAAAGUGAAGACUAUAUUAUUUUGUGGGCUAUGCAUUUGGCCCCCAUUUGUUCUUGAUUCUGCAUCAUGCUUCUCCAUAUUGUUUCCUUUGGCUCUUCUUGAAAACAACACUGGAAAUUCUGUAUUAUAUACAAGUGUAACACAUGCAUAUCAAUAGGUGAAAUAAAUGGACUUUCAAAUAUUCUAACUAGAUUAUCCCCAGUAGAUUAAUGUUGUGAACUAUUCAGAAAAAGUGAAUAAAAUUGUGAUAUAAAAUUGACUCCCCUUCUUGGAUGUACACUAGUGGGGAUGUGAUUUCUCUUUUAUUUUAAUAAUGCUUCUAGCUCUAAUAAUAGCUAACUUUUAUAAAGGCCUUCAAGAUUAAAAAAGUGCUUUACAAAUAUUAUCUCAUCUUAUCCUCAUAAUCAUCCCCAAAGGUAAAUGCUAUUAUUAUCUCUGUUUCACAGAUUAGGAAACUGAAACAGAAAGUAAUUAAGUGACUUGCCCAGAAUAACAUUGCUGGUAAAUGUCUAAGGCUAAUUUGGAAGUCAGAUAUUCCUAAUUCUAAGUCCAAUGUUCUACCCACUGUGCUACCCAGAUACUUCUUGUUGUUCCUACCUAGGGGAAAUUUCUACAUUAAUAUUAUUCCUGGCAAAAUUAUUUAAUGAGUUUCUAAAUAAAAGUCCAUGGGAAGUUCUGCCACUUCCACAAGAUUAUGAUGUUUAAUUUGUUAUGUUCUAAAUAAAACCAUUUGAACAGAUUUAGCACUGCCCUAAGCCCACCUCUCUCGGCAAUGAUGUACUGUUACCACAAAUACAUAGUAUAAAUUUUCCUUUGAAAAUGGUUUAAGAUGCUCUUGUAGUUAUGUAUUAUCAUUUGAUCUAUGCGAAGAAAGAUUCAACACAUCAAAUACACAUGGACUAUGGCCUUUUUAAAAAUAACAUGUUGAGUUAUCUAUUAAAGCAAGCCACAAUAGUGAGCUUCUCUGAUUAAAAUAGAGGGUAGUAAGAGUUUGAUUUCUGAGAAUUCUAUGGAGUUUAUAGUGUCUAUAUUUUUCACAUAUGACCAUGACAACUUUAUUUUCAAUAGAAGUCUAUUGGCAAAAUACAGUGUUUGUGACCUGCUUUUUCCUUAGGAGAUAUUCUCUAAGUGCUCAAAUCUGCUAUUUGUUUUCUAGCUGGGUUGGUAGAGAAGAAUUGGGAAACUACUCCAAGAUUUCAAAGGCAAGCUGAUUCUUAUUCAUUGUCCUCAUUCAGUAGACUCUUUGUUGGAGCUAAGUGUAAUCAUAAAUAAUUGGGACUUAUGAAAAUUAGGAAGAGAUAAUACAGUUAUUAACUGGUACUUUUUUCUAUAUGAAAUUUAUUUUAUUGAUGCUUUUUCUCUUAAAAAAAAAGCCACAUCCUUCCAGGUUGAACUUUAUCUUGUGUGAAAGAAAAAUAGUGAUCACAAUGGAAAACCUAUACAAGUUCUCUUCGUAAUCCUCUAACCACGAUAAGGAGUAUAGUACACUUAUCUGUUUUCCACCAUCUUCACUGGUUUUUUUAAAUAAUCUUUUCAUUUAUUUUAUUGUAGCCAAUUCUUCAAUUUUUUUCACCUUUAUUCUGCAUCAAUUGAAACAGUUAUUCCCAUUUUGUAUGAAUUUCUCAUUCAAAAUUUCUUAUGUAUAGUAAUAUUCCAUUAUAUUCACACAUAUUUCCCUUUCUUCCUUCUCUCCUCUCUUCUUCCCUCCCUUCCUUCCUUCCUUCCUUCCUUCCUUCCUUCCUUCCUUCCUUCCUUCCUUCCUUUCUUCCUUCCUUCUUCCUUCCUUCCUUCCUUUCUUCCUUCCUUCCUUCCUUCCUUCCCUCCCUCCCUCCCUCCCUCCUUUCCCUUCCCUUCCCUUCCCUUUCCUUUCCUUUCCUUUCCUUUCCUUUCCUUUCCUUCCUUCCUUCCUUCCUUCCUUCCUUCCUUCCUUCCUUCCUUCCUUCCUUCCUUCCUUCCUUCUUUUUGGAUGAAAUUGGGGUGAACCAGGGUCACACAGCUAAUAAAUGUCUGAGGCCAUAAUUUAACUCAUAUCUUCCUGAUUCCAAGGCCAGUACUCUAUUAACUAUUUUGCUAUUUCACACUUCAUAUUUUUUCAGUCAUUCCCCAAUUGAUUUUGUUUACAAUUCUUUGAUUCUUUAUUUCCAAUGCAUUGGAAUUUCAAAUGACUAUUGAUAAAUGCAGAUGUUCAAAAGGUGUUGAUACAUAUUUAAGUUUUAUUGACUUAAGCUUUUUAAAGAAAUUUAAGACUUCUGGGAUACCCCAUAUUAGACCCUUUUAUUCCUUGAGGUAUUCCCUGGAGUAAUUUCUGGGUCAAAAAAAUAUGGAGAGUUAAAGUUACUUUUCUUGUAUAACUGCAACCCAGUCUUACAUCUGAGGCAGAUUCAUGAAAUAGAGCCUACAUUCACAGUGAUUCUAUAAUUAAAAUGCCUGUUGAGAAAUGUUUCAUGUUUAUGUCCUACCCCCAUCCUAGUUAGAGAGUUAAACUUUCUAAUAAUUGGUUAGGAGUUGAGCUCCUGUGUGUUUUUUGUUGUCCCCUUCUGCUGCAAACAAAGAAACAUCUGAUAAGUGUAAGGACAGGAUCAGUCAUAAGUGAGCAUGACAAAGAAUAAUAUUUCUAGAACAGAACCAAUUAAACACACACACACACAUACACUUAAUCUCUCUCUCUCUCUCUCUUUUUUUUUCUCUUUCUCUCUCUCUCUCUCCCCGUCUCUCCUGUUUGUCUGUGUCUCUCCCUCUAUCUCUCUCUCUCUCUCUCUCUCUGUCUCUCUCUCCCCCUCCCCCUAUUUCUAUUUCUGGUUCUCUGUGUCUGUGUCUGUUUCUCUGUGUCUGUCUCUGUCUCUCUUGCUCUCUUUCUCUCUCUAUCUCUGUCUUUCUCUCUGUGUCUCUCUAUCUCUGUCUCCCCAACUCACUCUCACUCUCUCUCUCUCUCUCUCUCUCUCUCUCUCCCUCCCUCCCUCCCUCCCUCUCUCUCUCUCUCCCUCUCUUUCUCUCUGUCAGUGAAAUGAGACAGGGAGGGGAUGAGUAAAAACUGCCUGAUUCUUCUUUCCAACUUUUUUUCUUUUAAUGCACCUGUUGCAGGAGAGAGCCUCUGUAAUAAAAAUACACAGCUACACAAUUGUCCAUUUAGAAGCCAUCUCUCAUGUUCAAGGGAAGGAAAUUACAGAUGUAGUAGACAAUGACUUCUGAUAAUGUUGUAUUAUUGCUAUGGGACGAUUGCCAACUGUCCCUCUUUACUUGUUCUCCUCAAGUCCUAAAGAAUUCUUUGUGUGGAAGUACAAUUCCUGGUACAUAGUAGGCACUUAAUAUAUGUUUAUUGACAACUUAAAAAAAAAAAACAAAAAAAAUCUCUACUCUUUGAGGAUAAUCUCCUAUUUUCUUAAACUGGUAAUAAUUUAAAAUCUCAGGAAUGUUCGUGAUCAGCCAACCCUUUGCUAGGGCUUGUUACAACUUUUAACUUGAUAUCAGAAUGGUUUAUCAAUUCAUAGUUCCAUUAAGAGAGAACAGGCACUUUAAUAUGGGAUAGUUUUGUUUUUCCUAGUCUUUGUCAAUUUGUCUGGUAUGAGUGAAAUCCUAGAGUAGUCCUAAUUUGCAUUUCUCUUACCAUUAGUGAUCUAGAGGCUAUUUUUAUAUGAUUAUUUAGAAUUUUUAAUUUUUCUUUGGAAAACUAUUAUCUAUGAUUUUUUAAUUAAUGCAUUAAGAAAUAACUUCACAGACUGUGCCAAUUCUAAAUAUAUCAGAUGCUAGAUUUUAUCAGUGAUACUUAAUAUGAAUAUUUUUCCCAAUCUACUUGUUCUUCAUUGAUUUUAUAAGUGCAGAAGUUUUUAAAUUUGAUUUAAUCACAUUUAUUUUGCUACCUUGUUUCUAAUCUUGUUUGGUUAAGAAGUGUCCCCUUACUUAUUAUUAUGAUAAGUACUUGAUCUCAUUUUCUUUUAACUUUUUUUAUGCAAUAAUUUCUUGUAUUUGGAUCACUUUCUAUGUUGAACUUAUAUAGUUAUAAAAUAUUUCUCUAAACCAGAAAUCCUUAACCUCUUUUGUGUUUGUUUAGUGGAUUUUAUUUGGCAGUCUGGUGAAGUCCAAUAAUCCUUUCUAUGAGUAAUAUUUUUAAAUUAAUAAAAUAAAAUACAAAGCAUUUCAAAGAAAAUCCAAUUAUGUUGAAACAUAGUAAUCAAAAUGCUAGCAACAAUAACAAUAAUAAUUCCAUGAACCCAAGGUUAAGAAGUUCUGGUCUAAACUUUAUUUCUGCUAGUUUUAUUGCACUUUUUUUUUUUUUUUUUUUUUUUUUUUUUGUCAAAAAAGGAAUCUUCCUCUAGAAAGGAUCUUACAUCUUUUAUUUUAUUAGUGAAUUUCAAUUUUCAAAUGCUUGUUUCUAGCUCAUCAAAUCUCUUCAUCUGAUUUUUUUUAAAGCCAGUAUCAAAUAUAUUUGAUGAUUUCUGCUUGAAAUUUAAAUUGGGAUCUGGUAGAGCUAGGUACCCUUCAUUUGUACUUUUUUUUUUUUUUUAAUACUCCCCUUGAGAUUCUAACUUUAAAAAUUACAAAUAAAUUUUCUAGUUCUAUAAGCUAACCACUCCCCAAAGAAAUUUGACUCGGCAUUCAACCUAUAAAUCAAUUUAGAUAGGAUUGUUAUUUUUAUUACAUCCACAGAGCUUGACAAGUAGCAGUGAAUAUCUCUCCAAUUGUUUAUCUUCUUUUCUAUAAAGAAUGAUUUGCAGUAGCAUUUAUAUAAAUUGUAAGUGUAUCUUGGUAAGAUACUUCCCGAUAUUUCAUGAAUUUUGUAGUCAUUUUAAAUAAAAUGUCUUAUCACUUCUAACUUGUUUGCAUAGUUUAUAGGAAGGCUGAUGUUUUUUGUGUUUAUUUUUGUAAAAUUUUUACCUUACUGAAGCUAUUAAUGUUCCUAUUUAGUUUUUUUCAGUGAUUCUCUGGGAUUUUCUAAAAUACAAUCAUGUAAUCUGUAAAUAAGGAUAUUCCCCCCGUUACAGGUGUUUAUAUCUUUAAUUUUAUUAUCUUAUUGCUCUAGCAAUUCUCCCAUUAUAUCAAAUAAUAAUAGGAAUGGGGGUGAGACAUUUUUGCUUUAUCCCUCUUUGUACUUGGAAAGUUUGUAGUAUCUUUCUUGCAAAUAACAUUACCUCAUGAUUUUAAAGCUAUGAUUAUAUAUGAGUGGUUCCUUAUGUAUCAUUUUUAGGAGUUUUGACAUAAAUGAACCUUUUAUUUUGUCAGAGUUCACCCUUCCCCUCUAUCUCCUGAAAUAAUCAUGUAGUCUUCCGAGAGAGAGAGAAAGAGAGAGAGAGAGAGAGAGAGAGAGAAAGAGAGUGUGAGUAUGUAUGUGUGUGUGUGUGUAUGUAUGUUUUCCUCUUCUUUAUCGUAUCUCUUCCAGAAUGCUAGAGAUUACCUCUUAGGGAUAUCUCUCUCCUUAACCUUUUACUAGAGCAAAAAUUCUUAAUUUUUUAAAACUAGAUUUUUUUUCAUUGGACUUCAUUAAUCCCUUCACCUCCCUUCCCUCAUCCCAUUCUCUGGAGAAAUUAAUCUAAUAAUCUUCGGAACUCACAUUCUGGGGCCCAGUAGUUUCUUGAUGCCUAUGUGAUUGCAAAUUUACCUAGUUCACUAUAUUGAAUUGGGACCAGACUUUCAUGGCAAACCGUUCUUCAUCCUAUUUAAUCAUCCAUUCAAGCUAUCUUAUUCUCUUCUUGAUGGGCAUUUCUUUUUGGUUUCUAUCAUUUCUUCUAUCCUUUUUCCACUCCAAUAUCCCUCCUGACAAUAUCAUAUUUGAUUAUGCAGUCUGAGGUCAAAAUAGCAUUUCCUCCUUUCUGAAAGUUGACUGAAACAUAAAAUAUUGUGCUUUAUAGCGUCAUUCUAAUCAUAUAAGUCUAUAUAUUUUCAAUGUAUUUUUCAUAUUAAGGAAAUGAAAAAAAUAGUUCCUUAAUUCUUUUUAAUGAGAGGAUUUAAUCUACUGAUGCUGAGGAUUAUAAUAUUACAUACAUAUAUAAUAAAUUUGUGUUUUCUUAAUUAAAUGUAGAUGCAAAUUUUCCUAUUUUCUCAAGUCCAAAUUAAUCUCUUCUGGUUUAUGUUGCUUACAACAAACUAAGUCUAGAUACCUCUACUUACCUGCAUUCCCUUUAUUCCAGUUUAAUGAUUAUUCAAUUUAGUUUUAUGUCUUUCUGUCUCUGUGUAUGUUUCUUUUUCUCUCUGCCUCUGUCUCUAUUUCUGGCUCUGGCUUUCUGCACUUUUUAUUUGUUUUAUUCUUUCUGAGAUUAUAUAUAUAUAUAUAUAUAUAUAUCCUGUUUUCCCAAUUCAGCAACUCCAUCUUUACUUCAAUUUUAUUUAUGCCAUUAAUUACAAUGCUUUCCCCAAGAUAAUAGUUUUCCUUCUGCCCACCUUUCUUAUUCUCUCUGCUUCUAGGAUGUUAUAGGCUAAGGGUUCUGAACAUUAUAUAUACUGUCAGUUUGGUGAAGUUCAUUUGUAAUGAGUGAUCAUUUCUUAAGAGGUUCUUAAAUGCAAAAAGUAAAAUACACAGGAUUACAAAAACCACCAAUAAUAUUGAAAUAAAAUUAUUGAAGCAAACAAACCAAAAAUUAUAAACUCCUAAAGGAUGUAUUUAGAAUAAGGUCAAUUUUUUUAAAAUAGUGAGUUGUGAUAAUAAAUGUUCUAUAACUGUGGUCUGGAGGAAGCUCUCCUGUUAUUUACCCUUUCGUGGCUGUCAGGUUAUCCUUCUUUUGUAUUUGUGAACCCUGUUCCUCUCUUUUGUAGUUAUAUUUUCCUGGGAUCUCAAAUAUUCCUUCUCUCUUAGUAGGAAUUAUUAGCAAAAAACAUGACUCAGUCUUAGAAAAACUGUAAGGGUCUAAACCAUUGCUUUUCCACCAAUCCAGAAAAACUCAUUGUACAUCUCACCUCCUUUCUCCUCUUCAUGCUGGCACCCAUCCCUUGCUUUUUAUAUCCUUUGUUUUCUUCUCGUCAAUUUGCACUUCACCCCCUCCCUCAAGCCUAUAUUCUAAUAACUUUAAAAACAGAGGAAAUCCUUUCAAUCACCUCUUGGUUUAAGAUUUGAAUGGCUUUGGCUCUCUCCCUCCAUCCCCACCUCUCUUUUCUAUCUAUGCAGAAUUCCUCUAUAUUACCCUAUCAUCUAUAAUACUAGUAAUAAUAUACCAUUAAUGAAUGGUAUUAUUUUUUCCUUAUAAACUACUCAUUCACUUCUUCCAAUUGUUCUUUUUAUUUAUUGCUGCCUGCAAAAUGUGUUCUUCAAUGUUAUAGUUCUGAAACUUAAGGAUAAUGUUUAUCGGGUCAGUUUGGAAUUUUUUUCAUGUGAACUGUAUUGAUCUGCAUUUUUUUUACCUGCUCCUGCUAUUCGAGGGCAUUUUUUUUCUGUAUGAUUAUUUAAAAUAUCUAUUUAGAUUCCCUUUUUCAUUUUUUCUGCAUUCUAGUCCUCCUCUUUUCUUUUCAGACUACCUUAAAGUUCAGUAUUUUUUGUUUUAUACAAUUCUCAUGAAUUCUUCCAGUCUUAUUCUUUUUUUUUCCUUUUUAAAAGUUUUCAUUAUUUUUCUUUCUAAUUCUAUGUUUUUGCAUUCAAUAUUGUCAUUUUAAUUGUGAAAAAUAUGUUUUUCAUUCAGUAUUUUCCAGGCUCUGGUUAAAAUUGUUCUAAUUUCUCUCCUUUGUUUCUUCUUUAUUUUCACUUAAUGCUUUGUUUUCUCUUGUGAACCAUUCUAGAAUUUCUUGAAAUGUCUCUAUUACCAUUUCAUUGUGCCUUGCAAAGUCUGUCAUAUUAUCUUUCUCUUCCUGAGGAAAUUUCAACUCAAUUUCCUUUCUUCAAUAAUAACUGUCUUCAGUUAAUUGUUCAUUUCACCAUUUUUUUCAUCUUUUGUCUGUCUUUAUGUCAGAUUGUUUUUUUUUUUUUUCUUUCUCUUUAACCUUUGUUGUAAAACCUUUCCCUGCUUAAGGCAUGUACUGUUGUGGCUCUCCUCCAGUCCUUGAUACCUAUUAUCUAUUCUGAUUCUUUAUAUUAGAUGAGGAUUCUGUCCUUAAGCAGUGGGAGUGACCUAAUUAUGUCAAUAUUGCUAGGUCUAAGAGACCGCUGAAAUUGGACCUAUUGUGUACCCUUAUCAAUUCCACUCUUCAGUUCCACUUCGUGUCAGACUAAUUUUUUAAUAAUAUUUUAAAAUUUUAUUUUAUUAUUUUAUUUUAUUUUAUUAUUUAUUUAUUUUUUAUUAUUAUAUUUUAAUGGGGGGAAUAUCCUUAUUUACAGAUUACAUGAUUGUAUUCUUAGAAAAUCCCAGAAAAUCACUGAAAAAAAACUAAAUAGGAACAUUAAUAGCUUCAGUAAGGUAAAAAAUUUACAAAAAUAAACACAAAAAACAUCAGCCUUCCUAUAAACUAUGCAAACAAGUUAGAAGUGAUAAGAAAUUUAAUAAUAUUAGAGUAUUAUUAUUACUAAUUACUAAUUAUUACUAAUAUUAUAUCUGGGUUUUGGUAGUGAAUGGGUUUCACAGAACACUGUUUUUGGUUGAGUACUUUUUUACACUCUUUCUCUUGGUCAUCUAUUUCUUCUUUAUCUUUAUUAAAUAGCUGUAUCUGAUGUUUCACUUCAGGAUUCCUCCUUAUGAUCCAAUUACACAAUUUGCUUCUCAGGAUAAAAUGAGAUAAACAACAUAAAUCGCUUUGUAAUCCCAAAGUGCUGAUAAAUAGCUGCUAUUAAUCUAUGACAGACAGAGGGGAAGCAUCAUGGUUCUCUUUCAGUUUUUGUUUCAAAGAUUAAUAGUAUUAAUCAACAAAUUAAUGUAUUUAACAAAUAUUUAUUGAGUUUUCUACUAGACAUUUGGGCGGCUAAAGUGACACAGUGCUAGGUAUGGAAUUAUCUCCUUGGGUUCAAAUUUGGCCUCCGAUUUACUAGCUAUGUGACUCUGGGAAAGUCAUUUCACCCUAUUUGACUCAGUUUCUCAUCUGUAAACAUGUUGGAAAAGGAAAAGGCAAGCCAUUUCAGUGUCUUUGCCAAGAAAACCCCAAAUGAAGUCAUGAAGAGUCAGACAUGACUAAAAGAUGACUGAACAACAAUUACAAUUACCUGGUAUUGUGAGAGAUCAAAGGAAGUUAUGCUGUGUUCCUGUCUUCAUGAUUCUUAUAAUUUAAUAGAGGAAGUAUUAUGUAUAGAAAUAGUGGAUAAAAGAUUAUGGAAUAAUAGAAAUUUGAAUCCUCCUGAUUCUAAGUCCAGUGCUUUAUUCACUGCACUACCUCACUGUCCUGAUUCCAAACCUAACAGUUAGUAUACUGCUUAUACUGAGUAAAGGUAAAUUUUCUUUUCUUUUCUUUUUUUUUUUUUUUUUUUUUUUUGAAAAGGGAGCUUUCCCUUCUCUUGAAAUGGGUAAAAGAUAUGGCUUUCAUGGAGGAUUCAGGAUAUAAGUUAAUACUUGUAUGGAUAAGAAUCAAACAAAUAGAGGUGGGGAAAGAAGGGACUUUUGGAAGGAAUGAACAAAUUUGGAGGCUGGAAAAUUUAAGACAGGUAUAGAAAAGAAGCUGAUUUGAAUGGAACAUUGAGUAUGUUCAGGACUGAAAAGGUAAAUCAAUGCUAGAUGGAUGUUUUGUAUUUUGACAGCUUGAAAUCUGAUAGGCAAGAAGGAGCCACUGAAGAUUUUUAAAGCACAUGAAUGGCGGCAGUAUGUAUUAAUCAGAGCUAUGAUUUAAUCUGAUUAGUUCAGUAUUUUCAUUUCCAUAUUCAGUCCAUCAAAUUGUGUGUUCAUGUGUUUCUGUCUGUCUCACUGAUAUGAAAUUCAUGAUGUGUACAUUUUGUGUCUGAACAUUUUUGUGCACACAUACAUAUUCAUGUAGAAAACAUAUAGUCAAAUUGAGUAGAGACUCAUUUUUACUUACAUUUUACAUUUUUGCCAAGAAAGUAGCAAAUAGAUCAUGCUUUUGUUUGGUAGAGCAAAUUACAGUCCCUCUGCCUUGCUCACUCUUUCUGUCUCUUUCUGUCUAUCUUUUAUUUAUUUAUUUUUGGUUUUGUUUUCUUGCUGGUAAUUAAAUCUCUUGAUAUGUGUGUCAAAAAUGUCACUGUUAAACAAUCCAAUAGGAUUAAACAGCCCCUCAUAAUUCUAGGCCUGCUAAAAAGCAAAAAAGAAUAUCACCUAAUCACAACUGUCAGGUCUGACAGUUCCCUUCUUUUCAUGGAAAAUUCACUUCUUUGUUGCCAUUAGGAAAUGAACCCAAACUAUAAUUUCCAAAGUUAUUUGCAGUGGAUCUGUUGUCACUUUUAAUAGUCAGCCAUUCUAAGUAUAUCACUGGAAAUGCUCCCUGUGUUGGUCCUUUAAAAAAAAUACAUGUCUUUUAUGUACUCUUUCCUCUCUUCUAUAAAAAAUGAUAUUGGAAAUAUUUGAAUUCUUUGUAGUUUCAUCAUGAAAGCUGUUGACACAUGUCAGCAUCUCUGAAAGUUAAGUAUUUCUAGUGGUGGAACUAUUUCCAGUAAUAGAUCUAAUAAUCCCAUGUGAAUCUCCUUUGACCUAUCUCACUUCAACCUGGGCUAAACAUUCGGCCUUUCCUCUCAUAGUGGUUAGUUACAAAUGACUCCAAUUUAGUGGUAGGGAUUUAAUAUGACCCAUGUUUCCCCUUUAGAGGCCUCAUUAUUAGAAACUAUUUCAGCAAGUGCUGUUAAGGGUGUUGCAAAGGAAAAGGUAUUAGAUCUUUCUGCCUCUUGUAGAUUUACUAGAAAAAAGAGGGUAAGGAUGGAUUGUAGGUAAUUACUUCACAGGUAGCUUAAAAAUCCAGUUACAAGAUUUCUAAUUCAAAUAGUCAAUAUUAACAAUAGAAAGGAACAGACAUUGUAUUUUCCCAUUAUUAUAAAAUGGCAUUCCACAGAAUUCAGUAUGGAAAAUGCAUCUUUGGGGGUUUAAUUCCAGACGGGUUUAGUAAUAACACAUACUCUCUUGUAAUCCAUCCCUUGCCACAGAUUGUGAAUUCAGCAUUAAAAUGAAGCUCUGGUGUAUAGUCAGUUAAUUUCACUAAACAAUAAACCAAAUUUGAACAGAGUGGAUUCAGAUAUAUCUUGUCACUUUUGUUCACAGUCAACUCCAUCAAAUGUCAAUUCAUAAAUGAGAAUACAGACAGGAUGCCUUUCAAAUGAGAGGGAAUUCUUCCUGAAUGACAGAUCUUAUCUUAGCAUCUGUUUUGUUUCAUUUGACUUAUAUUUUUGGCAUUUAUUUUAAAAGCAAAAUAAUGUAAUAGAAAUCAGAGAAUCUUGGUUCUGGGGCUGGUUUUGCUCCUAUUAUAUUUUGCCAGUCAGUAGUAAUAUUGGGCAGUCAUACUUUUCUCAUUUGUAAAAGAGAAAUAAUAUUUAUUCUGCAAAAUGAUAAAGGGAGGGGGCAGAAAUUGCAAAGAUUUCAUUUUAGACUUUGAACUACAAACUCAAUAUGAGUCAAUAGUUUAACAUGGAAACUCCAAGAGAUAAUAUUAUCCAUUUAGAGAGAUGUAGUAAAUAGAAUUAGAGAAGUGAUAGUCUCACUGUAUUCUGUUUUGACUAAAUUUAGAACAGAGGUGUCAGAUUCACAGCUCACAGUCCACAACAAGUGACAGCAAAACCUGAGUGCUUGAACCAGAUUAAAAUGUAAUUGGAAGGUGUUCAACAAAAUAACAAAAAUGCAAUGCAAACUAAAUAAUGUUAACUCAUAGUUUCCUAUUUUAAUAUGUGGCCCUUGGGAUGAUUUCUAUUUGGAUUCAAAACACCUUUGGUCUAGAGUAUUGAUUCAGUUCUAGAUAGAUAUAGAUACAUUGGAUCAUGUCCAGAAGAGAGCUAACUAGGUUAGGAGACAGGAGGUAAUUCUAUUAGAGCAUCAUUUGAAGAGAUUGAAGAUAAUUAGGAAAAGUAUGAGACCUAUUUGAAGUAUCUAAAGGACUGUUACAUGGAAGAUGGGUGAGACUUGCUCUAUUUGACAUCAGAAAGAACUAUGAACAAUAGAUGGAAGUUACUAAGAAGCAACUUUGAGCUUGAUGAAAGGGUAAACUGCUUAACCAUUAGAGCUGUCUGCUUUUUGGAAAAUUAAAAUCUUCAUUGCUGGUUAACAUUUGCUAAUAAUUUUACAGUGGUAUUUCUUGUUUAAGUAUUAGCACUAUAUGUUCUCUGAACUCUGCUCCAACUAUGAGAUUACAUAACUCUGUGAGUAUUAGGAAGAAAUGAAUGGACAAUGAAUAUAUGAAUGAAAGAGUUUAUUAAGAAUUAAUAUUAUUAUUAUUGCUAUUUUCAACCUCCAUGAUAAAUAAUGGGGAUACAAAUACAAAAUCCCUGUCAUAAUGACCUUGGAUUUUAAUAGGAAUAGAUAACACAUAUGAUAGUAAGGAGAAGUUUUGGUUUGAGAAAUCAUAACUAUGCAACUGGAACAAAUGAGGGGAUUGAUUAAUAACUCCUAUUCAAUCACAAUAGUAGUAUGUAUUUGAUGACAAUUCCAAAGCUAGAAAUAACAGGAAAAAAGGUUGAGGAUAAUGGUGCUCAUACACAUAUGGCAGGAGAUAUGGCAAUGCCCAGUGCUAUAGAGGUUGCUGUGGAAGGUAUAGAAUAUAUUAAGAAAAUGGCAGACAUGGAAAGAAAGCUAUUUAUGAAAAAAACAAAACAGCUACUGUGAUAGUCCAAGAACUUAUCAUAUUUGAAUAUCAUCUGCUGGAUCGAGUACAGGAUAGAAAGUUGGUAGUUCAGAGUUAAAAUAUUUGUUUUGCCACUGAUAUGCUAUAUUGUUUAAGACAGCACUCUGUUAUAUGGCUUUGUAUCUUUGAGUUUCAUUUUUUCUUUAUUGAAAACUUUACUUUCUUUAAAGAAGCAGCUGAAGUUCCAGUGGGUAAAACAUUCAGUUUAGAGUCAGGAACUUCUGAGUUCAAAUCUGAUAUCAUAUACUGGGCAAGUCACUUUACCUCUCUGUGCCUCAGUUUCCUAAACUGUAAAAUGGAUAAUAACAGCUCCUUACUCUCAGGGUCAUUGUAAGGAUUUUUGUAACAUUUUACAAAUUAAAUUUAAAAAUUGUAACAUUGUAAAGAUAUUUGUAACAAAACAAAACAAAACUCAGCAGAGUACCUUACCCAUAGUAAGUGCUAUAUAAAUGCUCAUAAUUUCCCAUUUACAACUUGAAUAUAAUUAUUAAAUGAAGAUAUUAUGAUUUAAUAGUCUUUAUCCUUUAGACUUCUCAAGUUCAUUAUGCACCAAAUGAAAUUCAGUUUCUUCCCCUCGGCAAGCUCAAUCCUUCUCUGAACUUCCGUAUUAUUGUCAAGAUCAUCACCACUGUUCCAGUCACCAACUAGAUCUCUAGGGUUGUUAUGAAGGGCAAAUGAAGUCAUGUUCCUCUGGUGAGGAAACUACUUGUUAUUGAGCUUUGCACUGCUUUUUCUUUUAUUCAACUGAAUUUUCUACUCCUCCUUCAAUUAAGACAUUUAUAGAAUAUUUUAAUAGAAACAUAAUGCACAGAUUGAGGAAUGUCAUAGUUUUGCCUAAUGUCUUCUUGGUUAGAAACCAUCUUGAAAAGAAAUGAUGUAUAGUUCUGGAUGUUAUAAUUUAAAGAGAUAUCAGUACCAAGCUGGCAUGGAUAGAAAGGAGAGAAAUCAGGAUGAUUCUCAAAAAAGAAGAUUUAGAGCUAGAAUGGAUUUAACUACUCACCUAGUCCAGCCUCUUUAUUUUGAAAAUGGGAAAACUGAGAGAGAGGUCAGAUUUCAACUCAGUUCGUUUUUACUUCAAGGAAAAUUCUCCACUUUGCCAUGUUGUCACUUAUUGAAUACUUUUUCAUUCAUUCACUAAGAGGGAACUAUGUCUUAAAAUAUGGAAGUAGAAUUCCAAAGUAAAGUACUGCCUGACAGGUAUUGAGUUCUUCAUCUUUUUAUUUCACCACAUUUCACCAAUAGGAGGCUAGGGAACUUAUAAAAAUGUAGAGGGAAAGAUCCUGUUUGAAUUGGACAAUCUCUAAAAUACUUAGAGCUCACAGAAUAUGUGAUUCUAUAAUUUUUCAUACUAUCCCUCUACUCCUGAGGUCCCCAAAUUCUUGGGGCAUUAAGUAAUUAGGAACACGAAAUGUCUUAUAAAUGAUAUUGCACAAGGCAUUCCUGGAAACAGUCAUAUCAGUAUCACUUUUUUUGGAAGGUAUUUCCUUCAUGUUAAGAAAAUAUACUUGAAAACUGAAAUAUAUUGGAUAUGUCAAGAAUACCAGAAAAGGUUUGCUUAAAUUCUGACAGUUAUUAUUUUUGUCUGGUCACCCCUUCCCACUGUCAGUUCAGAGAUGCUAACAGAAUAGUCCAAGUUGUAUAUCAGAGUACACAGUGCAACUUACAGGUAGAGAUAAUGAUUUGUUCUAACAUCCACAGUCAGGUAGGCCCUGACAUUCUGCCUAGGAAUCAUGGCAAAAGAACUUGAAAACAGCAUCUCCAUAUGCCACAAUUGCUGAGAAUAUUCCUCAGACAGAUUCUCUUGUCAUCCUUCAUAUGUAGGAGCUCAUUAGACACCUAGAGGAAAAACAUAUGGAGGGAGAAGAUGAUGAUUUUGGUAGAGAAUGCUGGAUAAUUGAUAUCAUAUUUAUAUUCUAAAAGGUCUCACAGUAAACAGUUUAUAAGAGCAGACAAGAUAGUUGUUUCUUUUUCACUCUCAUGGAUCAGAUAGUCUCAUAAUUUUAUGGCCAUAGAUAAAAUACAUUUUCAAUUUUCAUACUGUUUGUCAGUUGCAUGGCCAAACAGAAUGUUUUCAUAUUCAUAUACAUACGAAUGUUUCAGUUAACAGAUUCUAGGAAAUUCAUUUACGGGGGAAAAAAAGGAACUCUGUAGAGAAAUCCUUUUUAGCAUUAAAAUAUUGAAUUAAUAUUUUCUUUUCAAAUAUAUGGAAGUGUCCAAGGUUAUGUAUUUUUUCUUUUAUUAGAUUUUCUUUUAUUUUAAAAUUACCUAAAAUAGGCAUAUAUACACACAUAUAUAAACACAUGGAUGUUUACAAUGUAGUAUAUGUAGGUGUGAAUAUAAAGC